GGGGUUGUGGCUCAGUGGUAGAGUGCUUGCCUAGCAUGCAUGAGGCACUGGGUUCAAUUCUCAGCACCCCA
rnacentral:tRNA from 1 species